AACGGCCAUACCAUGUUCGAUAUACCGGUUCUCGUUAGAUCACCGAAGUCAAGCAUCAUUGGGCGCGGUCAGUACUUGGGUGGGUGACCACCUGGGAGAACACCGCGUGCCG